rnacentral:rRNA from 1 species
CAAACGCUGGCGGUAUGCCUAACACAUGCAAGUCGAACGGACAGAACAGGGAAGCUUUUCGGGGUGGAACUGGAAAGUUAGUGGCGGAUGGGUGAGUAACGCGUGGACAACCUACCUUGUAAAGGGGAAUAACCUCGAGAAAUCGAAGCUAAUACCCCAUAAUAACCUUGCUUCGCAUGAAGUAAGGAGGAAAGGCGGCCUUAGCGCUGUCGAUACAAGAUGGGUCCGCGUCUGAUUAGCUAGUUGGUGAGGUAAAGGCUCACCAAGGCGACGAUCAGUAGCCGGCCUGAGAGGGUGAACGGCCACAUUGGGACUGAGACACGGCCCAAACUCCUACGGGAGGCAGCAGUGGGGAAUCUUCCGCGAUGGGCGAAAGCCUGACGGAGCAAUGCCGCGUGAGUGAAGAAGGCCUUCGGGUUGUAAAACUCUGUCCUUAUCGAAGAGAGAGUGUUGUAGUAACUGACAAUACUAGGACGGUAGAUGAGGAGGAAGCCCCGGCUAACUAUGUG